rnacentral:rRNA from 1 species
UGGGGAAUUUUGGACAAUGGGCGAAAGCCUGAUCCAGCAAUGCCGCGUGUGUGAAGAAGGCCUUCGGGUUGUAAAGCACUUUUGUCCGGAAAGAAAUCCUUGGCUCUAAUACAGUCGGGGGAUGACGGUACCGGAAGAAUAAGCACCGGCUAACUACGUGCCAGCAGCCGCGGUAAUACGUAGGGUGCAAGCGUUAAUCGGAAUUACUGGGCGUAAAGCGUGCGCAGGCGGUUUGCUAAGACCGAUGUGAAAUCCCCGGGCUCAACCUGGGAACUGCAUUGGUGACUGGCAGGCUAGAGUAUGGCAGAGGGGGGUAGAAUUCCACGUGUAGCAGCGAAAUGCGUAGAGAUGUGGAGGAAUACCGAUGGCGAAGGCAGCCCCCUGGGCCAAUACUGACGCUCAUGCACGAAAGCGUGGGGAGCAAACAGGAUUAGAUACCCUGGUAGUCCACGCCCUAAAACGAUGUCAACUAGUUGUUGGGGAUUCAUUUCCUUAGUAACGUAGCUAACGCGUGAAGUUGACCGCCUGGGAAGUACGGUCGCAAGAUUAAAACUCAAAUGAAUUGACGGGGUCAUAGCUGUUUCCU